GAUUUCAUGUGCCUCAAAACGGUUUCCUAAACCGUAGGUCGGAAGUUCGAGUCUUCCCGGGAUCGCCA
rnacentral:tRNA from 1 species